rnacentral:tRNA from 1 species
GCCACCUUAGCUCAGUUGGUAGAGCAGCUGAUUUGUAAUCAGCCGGUCGCUGGUUCGAGUCCGGCAGGUGGCUCAA